AAUUACUUGACCAUUCAAAGGCUGGCUCAUAUGGAAACUGAAACUUUACCACUUGGGUGUGACAAUCUAUAGAGGCAUAACAAGAAUGAAGCCAAUCUAUACCAAGAAUAAGAUCAAAGUCUACCAUAUCUAACUCUAUUAGGUCUACUAACAUGACUUUAUAAAGGACAGUGACAAGACACUUUCUAUAGAUCUAUUUACCAAUAACUGAC
rnacentral:lncRNA from 1 species